ensembl:lncRNA
GAAUAUAUAACUAUUUUUCAUUAAAUAUAUUAUGCUAACAUGUAAUAGGUUUAUAAUAAGUAACUCAAAUAACAAACAGUUUAAAUUUUUUUGUUUUAACUUUUAAUGCAGUAAAUAUCAUAUCUAAACUUAUAUAAACAAAGUUUUUGAGAUCUUCAAUGAUUUUUAAGAGUGUAAAGAGGUUCUGGGGCCUCUACUAGAGUAGAACCACUACUCUAAAUAGUUGUUUUUUUGUUUUUUGUCUUUUUGCCUUUUCCAGGGCCGCUCCUGCGGCAUAUGGAGGUUCCCAGGCUAGGGGUCCAAUGGGAGCUAUAGCCACCAGCCUAAGCCAGAGCCACAGCAACGCGGGACCCGAGCCGUGUCUGCAACCUACACCACAGCUCACGGCAACGCCAGAUCGUUAACCCACUGAGCAAGGGCAGGGACUGAACCUGCAACCUCAUGGUUCCUACUCAGAUUCAUUAACCACUGCGCCACGACGGGAACUCCCUAAAUAGUUCUCCAAACUUGGGCUAGUCUCCUUUGACUAUUCACAGGAAGAUAGUGCUUAGGGCUAAAGGGGUGGUAGAAAAUGAUCACUUCCUGGUAAGUUUAGGCAGGGGAAUAUUGUGAGGAAGGAUCUUCAGAAAUUAGAGUUAGCAUUGUAACAGUUCAUUCUCACAGUGUUGGGCAGGUCUAACAGAGUAGGACCAUUGAGUUUAAGGAAGGCAAAACAAGCCCUCUGAGGAAAGAUAGGCUGCAAGUCAGUAUUGAGGAAAAAGAAAGAGCUGAAACCCUUUUCAAAAGUUUUUUUUUUUAAAUCUUUUGCCUUUUUUUUGGGCUGCACCCAUGGCAUACGGAGGUUCCCAGGCUAGGGGUUUUUAAUUAGAGCUGUAGCCCUGGCUGACACCAUAGCCACAGCAAUGCGGGAUCUGAGUGAAGUCUGCGACCUACGCUAUCUCUCACAGCAAUGCCAGAUCCUCAACCCACUGAGCGAGGCCAGGGAUCAAACCCAGGUCCUCAUGGAUGUCAGUCAGAUUCGUUUCCGCUGAGCCAUAACCGGAAAACUUCUCCUUUCCUGAUCAAAAAAGACAAAAGGGAUCACAACUGAAUCUCACUGUGGGCCCACAAUUUCUCCUCAAGAAGUCAUAAUAGAAAGUGUUAAAGGAGUUCCCUGGUGGUGCAGGGGAUUAAGGAUCUGGUAUUGUCACUGCUGUGGCUCAGGUUGCUGCUGUGCAGGUUUGAUCCAUGGCCCAGGAAAUUCCAUAUGCUGUGGGCAGGCCAGAAAACUUUUUAAAAUAAAAAAUAAAUUGAAGUUCCCACUGUGGCACAAUGGGUUAAGGAUCUGGUGUUGCCUUAGCUGUGCAUAGGUUGCAGCUGAGGCUUGGGUUGGAUCCUGGCCUUGAAAUUUCCACAUAAUAAAUAUUUUUUUAAAUUAAAAAUAACAAAAUAAAUUAAAAAGAGUGUUAGGACAGUGCAUUGGUGGAAUGGUACUUUGGUCAACUCUCAAAAUUUAGCUUAAAGAUUGAUGAGGGAAGCCCUCUAUUGUCUAUCUCCUCUUCAAUCAAUAAGAAAACAAAGUCAGCCCUGAGGCUCAGGACCUUUGGGAUUCUUAGUCUGAGGGUAGAAAGUGAUGUAUAUACCUGAGUAUUAUUUAGACACUGAAUUUAAUAAGGAGAAAACGCCACAAGAAACCAUUUGACUCAUUUCAGUUGCUCAGGGUCCUGAAAUUUCCAUCUCAGUGUGAUGAAAAGAAUUAAAGUAUGAGCUAACUCAAAAAUGGGUUGCUGUCUAAGAGGAAAGGGAAAGAAUGGGAACCAGUUCUAGCUUCAGAAGGGAUUGUUCUGAAAUUAGGAAAAAGAACAUCACCAGUGAGGUCACAGCAAGAACUGGAAUCCCCCAGGAGGCUCUACAGUCCUUGGUUUGGUCAUUGCAGGAAGCUUUCCUGAUAGCACCCUGGAUAUAGACAUAGGCCAUCCUGGUAACCAAUUAUCAUUUAUUUUCCUCAAGACUUAGGUGUGAGGAAACUAAAGAAUAGUGAUAUAUGUGAACCCCAGAGUCAGCCUGCCUGGAUUGAUGUUGUAUCCCAUGGUCUCAAUAUCCUUCCCUGUAAAAUGGGAAGAAUGAUAGUACUGACUUUAUAAGAUUCUUAUGAGGAUUACCUAAGAUACUGCAUACAAGAAACUCAACACAAGACAUGGCACAUAACUAAGUGCCUAAUAAAUGGAAGUUAUUAUUAGGGAGAGUCUUUGCUUCCUAUUCCCAUCUGUGAGCAGUUUUUCCAUUACUUUUCAACAGAAGCCUUUUCUCUCCAAGAUGCUGAUCUUGGAGGCAUCUGGUCCCUGAGUCAUCACUAAGAUGCUGGGUUUCUGAAGUCAUUCCUUCUACUGUUCUCUAAGGGCUCCCUCUCCUGACUGCUUAACUCUCGCGGAGGCUCAGGUCCACAAUCGAGGCAGGGAGUGUAGGUAGGGCUUGGCCACCUGUCUUAGGAGAAAGGUUCCCAGUCCCCUUAGGAGUCUCCCUAAGACUUGAGAGACCCACCGGACACAGAGAAAUGCCCCAGCCUAGAAACAGGAGUGAGGUAGGGAGGUGAGAGUGAGGUUGAGGAAGGGGGCGCGCUCCCGAGGUUCGCGCGAGGCCACACCCCGAAGUCAGUUUGCUGGUGGGCGGAGCCACACGCGGAGGUGAGCAGCUGGGGGCGGGCAACAACCCGUGGUGGAAACAAGGCCAAGGUCGUGGCCGCGGCCCGGCCGCCGGGACGCUUAGGAAUGGCCAGUCCUCUCCACAGGCGGCGCGCGCAGCCGCCCAGGGCAGGAGGCAACGCAGAGAUUAAGGCU